rnacentral:snRNA from 1 species
GUCAUGUCAGCAGCACAGGUACCAAAACGGGAACAAUACAGAGAAGAUCAGCAAGCCUUCUGCACAGGGACAUCACAGAUAUUUGUGGAGUGUUCCAUAUUUUU